CCUGAUGGCCGACUUGUUGCUCCGCCUCACGCUGACCUGUGCUCGCCUUAUGGCUGAACUGUUGCUCCGAGUCCGCCUGACGAGCCACCUGUUUCUCCGGAUCUGUUUCUCCGCCUAACGGCGACCUGUUUCUCCGGACCUGUUUCUCCGGACCUGUUUCUCCGCCUAACGGCGACCUGUUUCUCCGGACCUGUUUCUCCGCCUAACGCCCGAGCUGUUGCUCCGCCUAACACCUGACCUGUGCUCGCCUCACGCCCAGCCUGUUGAUCGGUGGACGGGUAAGCGCGCAUGGCAUCGGAAGGAGCUCGAAAAGUAUAAGGUGAUGACAGUAAGUAACGUUACUGUGAUUUGUGAUCUUUCUGGGGUGUUAACUGUAAAGCAAUGGAUAAUUGCGUGAAAAUCAAACUAAAAGAAUGCAAUCUUGAGGAGUUAAUCCCCACAUUUGAAGGAGCGAACUUUUCCUCGUUUUUAGGUCAAUUUGAAUACAAUUCAGAGGGGUGGCAUGGGGGCGCAGUGGGUAGUGCUGUCGCCUCACAGCAAGAUGGUCGCUGGUUUGAGCCUUGGAUGGGUUUCCCCUCCACAGUCCAAUGACAUGCGGUGUAGCUGAAUUGGAUUGGGACCAAUAUUGCUGAGUAUCUUCAUCCAUUGAAUUCAAGAAUCUAUUGAGUUUCCUCAUGUUCUCAUCCUUGGAGACCACCACUUCUUUCAAGCCUUUGCUCACGUGCUGUGC
rnacentral:lncRNA from 1 species